rnacentral:rRNA from 1 species
UACGUAGGUGGCAAGCGUUAAUCGGAAUUACUGGGCGUAAAGCGUGCGCAGGCGGUUUUGUAAGUCUGUCGUGAAAGCCCCGGGCUCAACCUGGGAAUUGCGAUGGAGACUGCAAGGCUUGAAUCUGGCAGAGGGGGGUAGAAUUCCACGUGUAGCAGUGAAAUGCGUAGAGAUGUGGAGGAACACCGAUGGCGAAGGCAGCCCCCUGGGUCAAGAUUGACGCUCAUGCACGAAAGCGUGGGGAGCAAACAGG